GGAGAUGGACGCGCACGCUCGGGUGAAGCUGCGUCUGCAGCCGGAAGGAAACACCUGCGAGCUUCACCUGUAAUCACCUGCAGCUCCGCUGAAGCUCCAUCCUCAGAUGAUCUGAGCACGAGUCUCAGGAUAAUAACGCAGUGUUGUUCAUCCUAAACCUUCAUCUGAAACCCGCAGAAGUCUCCUCUGAACACCCCGGUUCCGGUCCGGACGGGUCAGCUCCGGCUCAUCCUCCUGACUGAUUGAAGUUUCGGUCGUGAUCCGGAAUUCCCGCGCUUUUUAAGCAUCUCAAACCUGCAGCAUCUUCAUGAACAUCAUAACCCACAGCACAGGCGGACGCUGCUCCACAGCACAGGCGGACGCUGCUCCACAGCACAGGCGGACGCUGCUCCACAGCCGGCCGUCCGGGGUUUGAUUCCCUCAGAUUAAGGCCUUAUGUAAGAGCAGCAGCGCGCGCGCCUAAUCCCAGAUUUGAGGCCCGGAGGCUCCAUUCGGCACCGGAACCACGAGGCCACGACGGUGAGGAUCCGAACUCCAGAACCUCGUUAAUGAAGACGGGG